rnacentral:lncRNA from 1 species
CGUUUAGGGACCGGUCAUUAUUUAUGGCUGGGGGUGGCACCGAAGAGAAAAGGGUUGGGUAAACAAAAUUUUGAUUGAGUAAAAGGUUGGGUAAAUGAAAAACAAAACAACUCAAGGGUUGGGUAAUAAAAAAAUAUUGUCAUUUCCAAAGCAUGACUCACUGAAAUAUUGGAGACUAAAAAGCAAUGUCAACAAUCAUAUGUCAAUACAAUAUGUGAAUCAAGUCACUAUCUUCAACAUUUUCCGAUUUGUCAGGAGACAAGUGGUGUCUCCAAAGAAACUACAUGUGCAGACAAUAUGAAAGAUUAGAUUGCAGAAAAUUUCACAAGCCGUUAUCAAACUCAUCACACAAAAGUGGCAAUUAAAAGGACAUGUGUGACAGCUGAAUGGUAUCCUUUUGUAAAGGUUUUGGCCAGGGGUGGGUAUUUAUUUUUUAAUUGAUGUUUGAGGUUGGGUAAUCAAAUUUUUGACUUUUUAAUGGUUGGGUCAGCAAAAUUUUUCCCACAAAAAACAUUUCUCUUCGGUGCCACCCCCCACCAUAAAUAAUGACCGGUCCCU